rnacentral:rRNA from 1 species
CCGCGGUAAUACGGAGGGUGCGAGCGUUGUCCGGAAUCACUGGGCGUAAAGCGCACGUAGGCGGCGCCGUAAGUCAGGGGUGAAAUCCCGGAGCUCAACUCCGGAACUGCCUUUGAAACUGCGGUGCUAGAAUCCUGGAGAGGCGAGUGGAAUUCCGAGUGUAGAGGUGAAAUUCGUAGAUAUUCGGAAGAACACCAGUGGCGAAGGCGACUCGCUGGACAGGUAUUGACGCUGAGGUGCGAAAGCGUGGGGAGCAAACAGG